GGCCAGCACACUUUGUUAUUUCUCUUUAUUAUAUAUUUUUUUUCCUAGACUUUUAUAACAUAUAGCAACAUAGCUUUGCUAAGUUAAUUAUACUUAUUAUCUGUACUCUUGGAAUCGUUUAUCACCUUAUUGUAUUACACAACUGAAUUUUUUUAAUCUUUGAUCUCAAGUAGCUGAAAGCACCUUACACCAUCUGUUUUCAGAUCCCCCUGCUACAAUUAUUUCAGAUUGAUCUGAAUUCACUAGCUUUAUUUUAUCUGUUUCAUGUUUAUACUUGUGUACAGGACUUCAUGUUAAA